GAUGGAGGAGAACGCAGGAAAAGGAGGUGCUGCUGUGGACCAAGAUGAACCUCUCCUGCACCUCUCUGAAAGCCCCAGGUUGUCAAUCAAAUCACUACCCUUCUGCUUCCUGUCCUAUGGUAGCCUGGGAACCAGUCAUAUCACUACCCUGCUGCUUUCUGUUCUAUGGUAGCCUGGGAACCAGUCAUAUCACCCCCCUAUGGUAGCCUGGGAACCAGUCUUAUCACUACCCUGCUGCUUCCUGUCCUAUGGUAGCCUGGGAACCAGUCAUAUCACUACCCUGCUGCUUCCUGUCCUAUGGGAGCCUGGGAACCAGUCAUAUCACUACCCUGCUGCUUCCUGUCCUAUGGUAGCCUGGGAACCAGUCAUAUCACUACCCUGCUGCUUCCUGUCCUAUGGGAGCCUGGGAACCAAUCAUAUCACUACCCUGCUGCUUCCUGUCCUAUGGUAGCCUGGGUACCAGUCUGUUUCACUCCUUGUCAUCCCAAACAGAGUGUAUUUCUCCAGGCUGGUCCUAUGGACUGUUCUGCUCCCCAGUUUGUCUAGUUUUAAUGUUGUUGACGUUGUGUCCACUGUGUGUCUGUCUCUUUUCAUUGUUAAAGUGUAUUGGGAGUGACCCCUGGUAAACCUGAAUCUGACAUGACCCCAGGCAGGGCUCAGACGCUGUGUUGGAGCAGGACGUCCCCAGGUCCCAGAGAGAGUCCGACAGUCCAAUGGAGGCUUCCCCUGCUGACCUGGUUCCCCCUGCUGACGUGGUUCCCCCUGCUGACCUGGUUCCCCCUGCUGUCCUGGCACCAGGCCCCCAGUGGAAGAGCCGAGGCUGGCCUCAUACCAUAGCCAGGCUGGUUAUGGAGCCAGACAGCCAGGAUUCUACGGCCUCUCGAGAAUCAGUAUCCAACGGGGAGGAGUCAGUCAGCCGGGCGGACCCACUAAGCCCCGCCUCCACCUACAGCCCACCGAGACGGAAGUAUCGAAAACGAGGAGCCGGCAAGAUAACCGAAGAGACCUCGUCUGACCCUGAGGAGGAUGUGUGUAUUCUAGAUGACACCCCUGAGCAGCGAGGCUCUGCCCCCACCCCCCAGAGAGGCUCCGCCCCCAUCCCCCAGAGAGGCUCCGCCCCCACCCCCCAGAGAAGCUCCGCCCCCACCCCCCAGAGAGGCUCCGCCCCCACCCCCCAGAGAAGCUCCACCCCCCAGAGAAGCUCUUCACAUAAGAGAAUCCCUACCCCCCAGACANNNNNNNNNNNCCAGAGAGGCCCCACCCACCAGAGAAGCCCCACCCCUCAGACAAGCCACAUCCACCAGAGAAGCCCCACCCCUCAGAAGGCCUCCACCAGUAAAAAGGGACCUGAUCUGAAGUGGUAUGUAGAACUAUAUAGUAUAGUAUCAUUCUGUCUUCUCCCUUCUGAUGUGAUUGUAGACAUACAGUUGAAGUCAGAAGUUUACAUACACCUUAGUCUAAUACAUUUAAACUCAGUUUUUUACAAUUCCUGACAUUUAAUCCUAGUAAAAUUCCCUGUCUUAGGUCAGUUAGGAUCACCACUUUAUUUUAAGAAUGUGAAAUGUCAGAAUAAUAGUAGAGAGAAUUAUUUAUUUCAGCUUUUAUUUCUUUCAGCAUAUUUCCAGUGGGUCAGAUGUUUAGAUACACUCAAUUAGUAUUUGGAAGCAUUACCUUUAAAUUGUUUAACUUGGGUCAAACUUUUCGGGUAGCCUUCCACAAGCUUCCCACAAUAAGUUGGGUGAAUUUUGUCCCAUUCCUCCUGACAGAGCUGGUGUAACUGAGUCAGGUUUGUAGACCUCCUUGCUCGCACAUGCUUUUUCAGUUCUGCCCACAAAUUUUCUAUAGGAUUGAGGUCAGGGCUUUGUGAUGGCCACUCCAAUACCUUGACUUUGUUGUCCUUAAGACAUUUUGCCACAACUUUGGAAGUAUGCUUGGAGUCAUUGUCCAUUUGGAAGACCCAUUUGCGACCAAGCUUUAACUUCCUGACUGAUGUCUUGAGAUGUUGCUUCAAUAUAUCCACAUCAUUUUCUCUCCUCAUGAUGCCAUCUAUUUUGUGAAGUGCACCAGUCCUUCCUGCAACAAAGCACCGCCACAACAUGAUGCUGCCACCCCAGUGCUUCACGGUUGGGAUGGUGUUCUUCGGCUUGCAAGCCUCCCCCUUUUUCCUCCAAACAUAACGAUGGUCAUUAUGGCCAAACAGUUCUAUUUUUGUUUCAUCAGACCAGAGGACAUUUCUCCAAAAAGUACGAUCUUUGUCCCCAUGUGCAGUUACAAACCGUAGUCUGGUUUUUUUUAUGGCGGUUUUGGAGCAGUGGCUUCUUCCUUGCUGAGCGGCCUUUCAGGUUAUGUCGAUGUAGGACUCGUUUUACUGUGGAUAUAGAUACUUUUGUACCUGUUUCCUCCAGCAUCUUCACAAGGUCCUUUGCUGCUGUUCUGGGAUUGAUUUGCACUUUUCACACCAAAGUAAGUUCAUUUCUGGGAGACAGAACGCAUCUCCUUCCUGAGCGGCAUGACGGCUGCGUGGUCCUGUGGUGUUUAUACUCGCGUACUAUUGUUUGUACAGAUGAACGUGGUAACUUCAGGCAUUUGGAAAUUGCUCCCAAGGAUGAACCAGAGAUCUACAAUUUAUUUUCUAAAGUCUUGGCUGAUUUCUUUUGAUUUUCCCAUGAUGUCAAGCAAAAGAGGCACUGAGUUUGAAGCUAGGCCUUGAAAUACAUCCAUAGGUACACCUCCAUUUGACUCAAAUGAUGUCAAUUAGCCUAUCAGAAGCUUCUAAAGCCAUGACAUCAUUUUCUGGAAUUUUCCAAGCUGUUUAAAGGCCCAGUCAACUCAGUGUAUGUAAACUCCUGACCCACUGGAAUUGUGAUACAGUGAAAUAAUCUGUAAACAAUCGUUGGAAAAAUUACUUGUCACAUAAAGUAGAUGUCCUAACCGACUUGCCAAAACUAUAGUUUGUGGAGUGGUUGAAAAACAAGUUUUAAUGACUCCAACCUGGGUGUAUGGUAACUUCCGACUGAAUGGUUAUGUAUUUCAGCCGUAGAGGAUGAUGUUGAAGAUCACAGCUGAUCGACUUUCUCUCUUUUAUAAUGGUGAUGUCAUCUGCAGGAAGCAGCUCUUCAGCGUUGCUAAGGAAUCCAAGGAUAGGUGGANNNNNNNNNNNNNNNNNNNNNNNNNNNNNNNNNNNNNNNNNNNNNNNNNNNNNNNNNNNNNNNNNNNNNNNNNNNNNNNNNNNNNNNNNNNNNNNNNNNNNNNNNNNNNNNNNNNNNNNNNNNNNNNNNNNNNNNNNNNNNNNNNNNNNNNNNNNNNNNNNNNNNNNCCAGAGAGGCUCUUCACAUAAGAGAAUCCACACCCCCCAGAGAGGCCCCACCCACCAGAGAAGCCCCACCCCUCAGACAAGCCACAUCCACCAGAGAAGCCCCACCCCUCAGCAGGCCUCCACCAGUAAAAAGGGACCUGAUCUGAAGUGGUAUGUAGAACUAUAUAGUAGAGUAUCAUUCUGUCUUCUCCCUUCUGAUGUGAUUGUAGGAGACAUACAGUUGAAGUCAGAAGUUUACAUACACCUUAGUCUCAGUUUUUUACAAUUCCUGACAUUUAAUCCUAGUAAAAUUCCCUGUCUUAGGUCAGUUAGGAUCACCACUUUAUUUUAAGAAUGUGAAAUGUCAGAAUAGUAGUAGAGAGAAUUAUUUAUUUCAGCUUUUAUUUCUUUCAGCAUAUUCCCAGUGGGUCAGAAGUUUACAUACACUUCAUUAGUAUUUGGUAGCAUUGCCUUUAAAUUGUUUAACUUGGGUCAAACGUUUCGGGUAGCCUUCCACAAUCUUCCCACAAUAAGUUGGGUGAAUUUUGUCCCAUUCCUCCUGACAGAGCUGGUGUAACUGAGUCAGGUUUGUAGGCCUCCUUGCUCGCACACACUUUUUCAGUUCUGCCCACAAAUGUUCUAUAGGAUUGAGGUCAGGGCUUUGUGAUGGCCACUCCAAUACCUUGACUUUGUUGUCCUUAAGCCAUUUUGCCACAACUUUGGAAGUAUGCUUGGGGUCAUUGUCCAUUUGGAAGACCCAUUUGCGACCAAGCUUUAACUUCCUGACUGAUGUCCUGAGAUGUUGCUUCAAUAUAUCCACAUAAUUUUCUCUCCUCAUGAUGCCAUCUAUUUUGUGAAGUGCACCAGUCCCUCCUNNNNNNNNNNNNNNNNNNNNNNNNNNNNNNNNNNNNNNNNNNNNNNNNNNNNNNNNNNNNNNNNNNNNNNNNNNNNNNNNNNNNNNNNNNNNNNNNNNNNUGUGUGUGUGUGUGUAUGUGGGUGUGUGUGUGUGUGUCUUUGUGUGUGUGUGUGUGUGUGUGCGUGUGUGUGAGAGCAGGCUAAAGACGUCAGCAUGCUACAGUUCGGCUGGCGCCUUGCCAAACCGGGCUAGCCCAACCCGAAGGAGUGUUCUCCAGACUCCUUUAGAAGACCUUAGCUUGAAAAUCAAGAAAAAAAGCAGCAAUAGUACUGUUUGUCCAUACUGAGACGCCGUAGCCAGUAUACACUUCCUCAAAAUAGUCAGAAUGAAUCUAAGAUAAUCUGUCAUUCAUUUUGAUGUUUUUUUACCGAGUUGUGCAACAUCUAACUCAGAUGUUUGGUGCAGUACUUCUCAAUGAAAACAAGUCCUCUCUCGUUGAAUGACAACAAAGACUUUAUUGAAGAAUCCCUACUGUUGACCAAUCACAGACGAAGCUUUAUUGAAGAAUCCCUACUGUUGACCAAUCACAGACGAAGCUUUAUUGAAGAAUCCCUACUGUUGACCAAUCACAGACGAAGCUUUAUUGAAGAAUCCCUACUGUUGACCAAUCACAGACAAAGCUUUAUUGAAGAAUCCCUACUGUUGACCAAUCACAAACAAAGCUUUAUUGAAGAAUCCCUACUGUUGACCAAUCACAGACGAAGCUUUACUGAAGAAUCCCUACUGUUGACCAAUCACAGAAAACAAUCACAAAAACUUCACAAAAUGUUGUCAUAAUACAUAUCAUAAUACACACAGGAACUCUACUAACCCCCCCUCCCCGUCUUCUCUCCUGUGUGUUAUGAGGAAUCAGAGUAUUGUUGUGGACCCCUUAAGGGCAUUCAGGCUACAUAGAUCAACGUAGCAGAACACAGAAGCUUACAUAAACAUCAUCAGGCUGUAAACAUGUCAGAACUUCAUCAAAGUAAACUUUGUCAUAACUUUUGAUUGAGCAGCAAAUACUGACUGUACUUUUCUACACCAGGAACAAAAUGUGUGUGUGUGUGUGUGUGUGUGUGUCAAUAUCAAUCCAUCAAUAUCUGGUUGAAAACAUAGAGUCUGUGGGAAUGGGCUUCUCUAUGGAAGGGGAGAAGGGUGACGACUUAAAACAUGACCUUCUGGUGUCUCACACUGACACACACCCUGCUGGGCGGUACACACACCCUGCUGGGCGGUACACACACCCUGCUGGGCGGUUUACCUCACCUGCACGCCACACUGGAUAAUCUUUAGGAAAGACUCCCAGAAUUCCUCGCAUUCUCAUCGGGGGCCUGGUCAUGCCAGCUGUUGGAAUGCAGCUCCACUUACACAGACACACAGCCACACAGCCACACACACACACACACAUACACACACACACACACACACACACACACACACACACACACA
rnacentral:lncRNA from 13 species